rnacentral:rRNA from 1 species
UGGGGAAUAUUGGACAAUGGGGGAAACCCUGAUGCAGCGACGCCGCGUGAACGAAGAAGGUAUUCGUAUCGUGAAGUUCUGUCCUAUGGGAAGAUAAUGACAGUACCAUAGAAGAAAGCUCCGGCUAAAUACGUGCCAGCAGCCGCGGUAAUACGUAUGGAGCGAGCGUUGUCCGGAAUUAUUGGGCGUAAAGGGUACGCAGGCGGUUUAAUAAGUCGAAUGUUAAAGAUCGGGGCUCAACCCCGUAAAGCAUUGGAAACUGAUAAACUUGAGUAGUGGAGAGGAAAGUGGAAUUCCUAGUGUAGUGGUGAAAUACGUAGAUAUUAGGAGGAAUACCAGUAGCGAAGGCGACUUUCUGGACACAAACUGACGCUGAGGUACGAAAGCGUGGGGAGCAAACAGG